rnacentral:misc_RNA from 1 species
AGUUCAGUGGAACGGAGCAGACUGUGUCCGCAACAAUGGCUACCGCCGGAGCUUUCUACUCCGUUCCACUGAACUACCAAUUACACCGGCGGCCACUUCAUUUUGGCUAUCUACCUCAAGCUCCCUUUCUCCUCCCUGUCACUUGGCCACUCACCACUUUCUCUCGUCAAAAAAUUAUCAAAUUAUAUUGCCGUCGAAGCUCCGGCUCAAGGAUCCUCUUAAAUCCUGCCCGUGCCUUACUUUCAAGUCAAUCUCGAGAGGAGAGUGGCAGCAGCGAAGUUGAUCCGGAUCUUCGUUCUGUGCUUGAACUUGCAACUGAUUCUGAACUCUAUGAACUUCAAAGAAUUUUAUUUGGUCCAAGUUACUUUAGCCCAUUGUUGAAGUCAGUUACAAGGAGAACUGAAUUUGAUUAUGUUAUGGUCGGAGAAGACCCGGAGGAGAGGGAUGACUUUUUGUCAAUGCUUGAAUCAAGAUUUUUAUACCUUGCAGCUGAUGCACGAUCCACAUUGAGGGGUAGAAGACCAUCGUAUAGGGAGGUGUUGCUUGGUGUCAGGGAAAAAUUAACUAUAAGGUGCUCAGCCAAAUUGUCUGCAGAAGACCUGGAAGCUGAGAUUUUUCUUCAUCUGCUGCACGAGUACUCAAGCUCAAAAGAAAGCUUGGAUGCUUCUGACGGGCAUGGUAGUCUAGAAUUUGGACUUAGUAAGUGGAAGGUACAAGCUGCUGCUGCAAUAAAAGCUGGGGCAGAAGGGGUUCGUUCAGUAAUAUUAAAGGGUGGAGGGGUGCUAACAUUGGGGAAGAUAUACAGCGGGUUAGCCAGGAGAUUUUCAGGAAAGAUGCUAUUGGAGGCUGCCAACUAUCAGAUUAGUAGGGAAGUUCUUAAAAAGGGUGGAGAAGUGGCGGCUCUUAACCUGGAGUCCAGAUUGGCCUUGCUGGCUGCAAAAAAGGGCUUAGCAGGUGCUGCCUCCCGUUAUUUUGGCUUAAGGAGCAUGAUGACAUUUCUCGGCCCAAUUCUGUGGGGAACACUUCUAGCAGAUGUUGUCAUUCAAAUGCUUGGAACUGAUUAUGCUAGAAUCGUGCGAGCUAUUUAUGCAUUUGCACAGAUCCGAAUUACCCGGACAUACAAAACAUCUGAUGUUCGAUAAAAAAGCUUAUUUAGAGAUUGGACUCUAAAGUUGCAUCGUGGACAUUGCACACUGGGAUAUUGUUAGGCUGUUGACUUUGGAUCUGGUUCUACACUUGUUCAUAGUAGAUGUUGGAAAGUAUGUUGAAGGGCUUGUGCUUCAUUGUACAUAUGUUAGGCUGGAAGAUAAGCUUCUUUACUAAUUUAAGAUAGACAUGAGCCUCUGGGAACGCGUAAUUUUCUAAACUAUUUAGAUUACUAAUUGAAGAAAAUUCUGUUGCUGGUUGCUGCAAGUGUAACGUUCUGUUGUGUGUUGCGGUUUGUUUUAGUAUUGAUGUUGAUGAAUUUUGUUAACUUGAU